rnacentral:rRNA from 1 species
UGGGUAACCUGCCCUUAACUCUGGGAUAAGCCUGGGAAACUGGGUCUAAUACCGGAUAUGACUCCUCAUCGCAUGGUGGGGGGUGGAAAGCUUUCUGUGGUUUUGGAUGGACUCGCGGCCUAUCAGCUAGUUGGUGAGGUAACGGCUCACCAAGGCGACGAUCCGUAGCUGGUCUGAGAGGAUGAUCAGCCACACUGGGACUGAGACACGGCCCAGACCUCCGUACGGGAGCAG